rnacentral:rRNA from 1 species
AUGGGGUGCAGCAGGCGAGAAAACUUUGCAAUGUGCGCAAGCACGACAAGGUUAAUCCGAGUGAUUCCUGCUAAAGGAAUCUUUUGCUAGUCCUAAAAACACUAGCGAAUAAGGGGUGGGCAAGUUCUGGUGUCAGCCGCCGCGGUAAAACCAGCACCUCAAGUGGUCAGGAGGAUUAUUGGGCCUAAAGCAUCCGUAGCCUGCUCUGUAAGUUUCCGGUUAAAUCCAUUAGCUUAACUGAUGGGCCGCCGGAAAAACUGCAGAGCUAGGGAGUGGGAGAGGUAGACGGUACUCGGUAGGAAGGGGUAAAAUCCUUUGAUCUAUUGAUGACCACCUGCGGCGAAGGCGGUCUACCAGAACACGUUCGACGGUGAGGGAUGAAAGCUGGGGGAGCAAACCGGAUUAGAUACCCGGGUAGUCCCAGCUGUAAACGAUGCAGACUCGGUGAUGCCCUGGCUUGUGGCCAGUGCAGUGCCGCAGGGAAGCCGUUAAGUUUGCCGCCUGGGAAGUACGUACGCAAGUAUGAAACUUAAAGGAAUUGGCGGGGGAGCAC